GAAAUACUCCCUCCGUUCCAAAUUACUCGUCGCAGAAAUGGAUGUAUAUAAACUAUAUACAUCCAUUUCUGUGACGAGUAAUUUGGAACGGAGGGAGUAACUU
rfam:Triticum urartu cultivar G1812 contig694088, whole genome shotgun sequence.